AACGAACGCUGGCGGCAUGCCUAACACAUGCAAGUCGAACGAGACCUUCGGGUCUAGUGGCGCACGGGUGCGUAACGCGUGGGAAUCUACCCUUGGGUUCGGAAUAACAGUUAGAAAUGACUGCUAAUACCGGAUGAUGACGUAAGUCCAAAGAUUUAUCGCCCAAGGAUGAGCCCGCGUAAGAUUAGCUUGUUGGUGGGGUAAUGGCCUACCAAGGCGACGACCUUUAGCUGGUCUGAGAGGAUGAUCAGCCACACUGGGACUGAGACACGGCCCAGAGUCCUACGGGAGGCAGCAGUGGGGAAUAUUGGACAAUGGGCGAAAGCCUUAUCCAGCAAUGCCGCGUGAGUGAUGAAGGCCUUAGGGUUGUAAAGCUCUUUUACCAGGGAUGAUAAUGACAGUACCUGGAGAAUAAGCUCCGGCUAACUCCGUGCCAGCCGCCGCAGUAA
rnacentral:rRNA from 1 species